AUUGAACGCUGGCGGCAGGCCUAACACAUGCAAGUCGAGCGGAUGAAGGGAGCUUGCUCCUGGAUUCAGCGGCGGACGGGUGAGUAAUGCCUAGGAAUCUGCCUGGUAGUGGGGGAUAACGUCCGGAAACGGGCGCUAAUACCGCAUACGUUCUGCGGGAGAAAGUGGGGGGUCUUCUGACCUCACGCUAUCAGAUGAGGCUAGGUCGGAUUAGCUAGUUGGUGGGGUAAAGGCCUACCAAGGCGACGAUCCGUAACUGGUCUGAGAGGAUGAUCAGUCACACUGGAACUGAGACACGGUGCAGACUCCUACGGGAGGCAGCGGGGGGGAAGAUUGGACAAUGGGCGAAAGCCUGAUCGAGCCAUGCCGCGUGUGUGAAGAAGGUCUUCGGAUUGUAAAGCACUUUAAGUUGGGAGGAAGUGCAGUAAGUGAAUACCUUGUUGUUUUGACGUUACCAACAGAAUAAGCACCGGCUAACUUCGUG
rnacentral:rRNA from 1 species